rnacentral:rRNA from 1 species
AACGAACGCUGGCGGCAUGCCUAACACAUGCAAGUCGAACGAGACCUUCGGGUCUAGUGGCGCACGGGUGCGUAACGCGUGGGAACCUGCCCUUAGGUUCGGAAUAACUCCCCGAAAGGGGUGCUAAUACCGGAUAAUGUCUUCGGACCAAAGAUUUAUCGCCUUUGGAUGGGCCCGCGUUGGAUUAGCUAGUUGGUAGGGUAAAAGCCAACCAAGGCGACGAUCCAUAGCUGGUCUGAGAGGAUGAUCAGCCACACUGGGACUGAGACACGGCCCAGACUCCUACGGGAGGCAGCAGUGGGGAAUAUUGGACAAUGGGCGAAAGCCUGAUCCAGCAAUGCCGCGUGAGUGAUGAAGGCCUUAGGGUUGUAAAGCUCUUUUACCCGGGAUGAUAAUGACAGUACCGGGAGAAUAAGCUCCGGCUAACUCCGUG